UGGGGAAUAUUGCACAAUGGGCGCAAGCCUGAUGCAGCAACGCCGCGUGAGGGACGACGGCCUUCGGGUUGUAAACCUCUUUUAGUAGGGAAGAAGCGAAAGUGACGGUACCUGCAGAAAAAGCACCGGCUAACUACGUGCCAGCAGCCGCGGUAAUACGUAGGGUGCGAGCGUUGUCCGGAAUUAUUGGGCGUAAAGAGCUCGUAAGCGGUCUGUCGCGUCUGCUGUGAAAACCCGAGGCUCAACCUCGGGCCUGCAGUGGGUACGGGCAGACUAGAGUGCGGUAGGGGAGAAUGGAAUUCCUGGUGUAGCGGUGGAAUGCGCAGAUAUCAGGAGGAACACCGAUGGCGAAGGCAGUUCUCUGGGCCGUAACUGACGCUGAGGAGCGAAAGCGUGGGGAGCGAACAGGAUUAGAUACCCUGGUAGUCCACGCCGUAAACGUUGGGCGCUAGAUGUGGGGACCAUUCCACGGUUUCCGUGUCGCAGCUAACGCAUUAAGCGCCCUGCCUGGGGAGUACGGCCGCAAGGCUAAAACUCAAAGGAAUUG
rnacentral:rRNA from 1 species